GGCCAGCAUGGUGUAGUGGUUUGAGCACUGGACUAGGAUUCUGGAGAGCAGGGUUUGAAUCCCAGAUUGGUCA